CGUGUGGUUCUAUUUUGUUGGUUAUGGGACCGCCGUAAUGAUUAAUAGGGACAGUCGGGGGCAUCAGUAUUCAAUUGUCAGAGGUGAAAUUCUUGGACUUAUUGAAGACUAACUACUGCGAAAGCAUUUGCCAAGGAUGUUUUCAUUAAUCAGGAACGAAAGUUAGGGGAUCGAAGACGAUCAGAUACCGUCGUAGUCUUAACCAUAAACUAUGCCGACUAGGGAUCGGGCGAUGUUACUUUUUGACUCGCUCGGCACCUUACGAGAAAUCAAAGUUUGUGGGUUCCUGGGGGAGUAUGGUGGCAACGCUGAAACUUAAAGAAAUUGACGGAAGGGCACCACCAGGGGUGGAGCCUGCGGCUUAAUUUGACUCAGCACGGGGAAACUCACCAGGUCCAGACACAAUGAGGAUUGACAGAUUGAGAGCUCUUUCUUGAUUUUGUGGGUGGUGGUGCAUGGCCGUUCUUAGUUGGUGGAGUGAUUUGUCUGCUUAAUUGCGAUAACGAACGAGACCUUAACCUGCUAAAUAGCCCGUGUUGCUUCUGCAGCACGCCGGCUUCUUAGAGGGACUAUCGGCUCAAGCCGAUGGAAGUUUGAGGCAAUAACAGGUCUGUGAUGCCCUUAGAUGUUCUGGGCCGCACGCGCGCGACACUGACAGGGCCAGCGAGUUCUCCCUUGUCCGAAAGGACCGGGUAAUCUUGUUAAACCCUGUCGUGC
rnacentral:rRNA from 1 species